GCUCAGGACGAACGCUGGCGGCGUGCCUAAUACAUGCAAGUCGAGCGGACAGAAGGGAGCUUGCUCCCGGAUGUUAGCGGCGGACGGGUGAGUAACACGUGGGUAACCUGCCUGUAAGACUGGGAUAACUCCGGGAAACCGGAGCUAAUACCGGAUAGUUCCUUGAACCGCAUGGUUCAAGGAUGAAAGACGGUUUCGGCUGUCACUUACAGAUGGACCCGCGGCGCAUUAGCUAGUUGGUGAGGUAACGGCUCACCAAGGCGACGAUGCGUAGCCGACCUGAGAGGGUGAUCGGCCACACUGGGACUGAGACACGGCCCAGACUCCUACGGGAGGCAGCAGUAGGGAAUCUUCCGCAAUGGACGAAAGUCUGACGGAGCAACGCCGCGUGAGUGAUGAAGGUUUUCGGAUCGUAAAGCUCUGUUGUUAGGGAAGAACAAGUGCAAGAGUAACUGCUUGCACCUUGACGGUACCUAACCAGAAAGCCACGGCUAACUACGUGCCAGCAGCCGCGGUAAUACGUAGGUGGCAAGCGUUGUCCGGAAUUAUUGGGCGUAAAGGGCUCGCAGGCGGUUUCUUAAGUCUGAUGUGAAAGCCCCCGGCUCAACCGGGGAGGGUCAUUGGAAACUGGGAAACUUGAGUGCAGAAGAGGAGAGUGGAAUUCCACGUGUAGCGGUGAAAUGCGUAGAGAUGUGGAGGAACACCAGUGGCGAAGGCGACUCUCUGGUCUGUAACUGACGCUGAGGAGCGAAAGCGUGGGGAGCGAACAGGAUUAGAUACCCUGGUAGUCCACGCCGUAAACGAUGAGUGCUAAGUGUUAGGGGGUUUCCGCCCCUUAGUGCUGCAGCUAACGCAUUAAGCACUCCGCCUGGGGAGUACGGUCGCAAGACUGAAACUCAAAGGAAUUGACGGGGGCCCGCACAAGCGGUGGAGCAUGUGGUUUAAUUCGAAGCAACGCGAAGAACCUUACCAGGUCUUGACAUCCUCUGACAACCCUAGAGAUAGGGCUUUCCCUUCGGGGACAGAGUGACAGGUGGUGCAUGGUUGUCGUCAGCUCGUGUCGUGAGAUGUUGGGUUAAGUCCCGCAACGAGCGCAACCCUUGAUCUUAGUUGCCAGCAUUCAGUUGGGCACUCUAAGGUGACUGCCGGUGACAAACCGGAGGAAGGUGGGGAUGACGUCAAAUCAUCAUGCCCCUUAUGACCUGGGCUACACACGUGCUACAAUGGACAGAACAAAGGGCUGCGAGACCGCAAGGUUUAGCCAAUCCCACAAAUCUGUUCUCAGUUCGGAUCGCAGUCUGCAACUCGACUGCGUGAAGCUGGAAUCGCUAGUAAUCGCGGAUCAGCAUGCGCGGNGGAAAUACCGUCCCGGGGCCUUGUACACACCGCCCGUCACACCACGAGAGUUUGCAACACCCGAAGUCGGUGAGGUAACCUUUAUGGAGCCAGCCGC
rnacentral:rRNA from 1 species